rnacentral:rRNA from 1 species
CGCGCAGGCGGCCUGGAAAGUCCUUCGUGAAAUCCCACAGCUCAACUGUGGAACUGCGGAGGAUACUGCUAGGCUUGAGUCCGGGAGAGGGGAGUGGAAUUCCCAGUGUAGCGGUGAAAUGCGUAGAUAUUGGGAGGAACACCGGUGGCGAAGGCGGCUCCCUGGACCGGUACUGACGCUGAGGCGCGAAAGCUAGGGGAGCAAACG